GGGUCUAAGAUGACAAACCAACAUCAUGAAGAGAGGUGAUGACAUAAAUAUCAUGCUAUGGUUGGGGCUGUUAAGACCC
rfam:Mesocricetus auratus contig160313, whole genome shotgun sequence.